GUGUAUAUGAGGACCAGGCUGCUCCAGCUAGAAAAUGUACUGGGGAGACAUUCUUAAGUACCAGCACAUUGCCAGGGAGUGAGAUGACGGUCAACCCUACCUCAAGAAACGAACAAAUAGACAGUGUGCCAUACUUUGGAAAACUACUCUUACUUUGGCUGAAGAUUGUGAAAGGAAACUCUGCUAAGUCUUACUACACUAUUGAGGGAUACUUUGGUGUGACACAUAAUUGAUAAGGAAUGUCACAGGUCUCCAAGGCUGGAACCAUAAUCACCUUCUUCAAGAAGAAAGCUGAGAGAGCUGAUAGGCAUUUCUUGGGUGUCUCACCAUUCUGUUCAGGAUCCCAGGAAUAAUGUUUUAAAAAAUUGUGAGAUAUGAUACUUUUCAAAGAAGAUUCACAAUUUGACCUACUUGAUAGAGCACAGGAAUGGGAAUCAGGGAAACUGUGUUCUAAUUCUGGCUCCAGCACUUGCCUUCAGGCUGAC